GCCCCCGUAGCCCAACCGGGAGAGGCGGGCCCCCUAAAAGGGCCAUUGGUGUCGGUUCGAAUCCGACCGGGGGCA
rnacentral:tRNA from 1 species